CUUACGCUAAUACCGCAUACGACCUACGAGGUGAAAGCAGGGGAUCUUCGGACCUUGCGCGAUUGAAUGAGCCGAUGUCGGAUUAGCUAGUUGGCGGGGUAAAGGCCCACCAAGGCGACGAUCCGUANCUGGUCUAGAGAGGAUGAUCAGCCACACUGGACACUGAGACACGGUCCAGACUCCUACGGGAGGCAGCAGUGGGGAAUAUUGGNCAAUGGGCGCAAGCCUGAUCCAGUCCAUACCGCGUGGGUGAANGAAGGCCUCCGGGUUGUAA
rnacentral:rRNA from 1 species